AGAGUUUGAUCAUGGCUCAGAACGAACGCUGGCGGCAUGCCUAACACAUGCAAGUCGAACGAGGGCUUCGGCCCUAGUGGCGCACGGGUGAGUAACGCGUGGGAACCUGCCCUGUGGUACGGAAUAACUCCGGGAAACUGGAGCUAAUACCGUAUGUGUCUUGAGGGACAAAGAUUUAUCGCCAUGGGAUGGGCCCGCGUAGGAUUAGCUUGUUGGUGGGGUAACGGCCUACCAAGGCUUCGAUCCUUAGCUGGUCUGAGAGGAUGAUCAGCCACACUGGGACUGAGACACGGCCCAGACUCCUACGGGAGGCAGCAGUGGGGAAUAUUGGACAAUGGGCGCAAGCCUGAUCCAGCAAUGCCGCGUGAGUGAUGAAGGCCUUCGGGUUGUAAAGCUCUUUCGCACGCGACGAUGAUGACGGUAGCGUGAGAAGAAGCCCCGGCUAACUUCGUGCCAGCAGCCGCGGUAAUACGAAGGGGGCUAGCGUUGUUCGGAAUUACUGGGCGUAAAGGGCGCGUAGGCGGUACUUCAAGUCAGGCGUGAAAGCCCCGGGCUCAACCUGGGAACCGCGCUUGAGACUGGAGAACUAGAGUUCGGGAGAGGAUGGUGGAAUUCCCAGUGUAGAGGUGAAAUUCGUAGAUAUUGGGAAGAACACCGAUGGCGAAGGCAGCCAUCUGGACCGACACUGACGCUGAGGCGCGAAAGCGUGGGGAGCAAACAGGAUUAGAUACCCUAGUAGUCC
rnacentral:rRNA from 1 species